UGCUUAACACAUGCAAGUCGAACGGGAAAUACUUUAUUGAAACUUCGGUGGAUUUAAUUUAUUUCUAGUGGCGGACGGGUGAGUAACGCGUGGGUAACCUGCCUUAUACUGGGGGAUAACAGCCAGAAAUGACUGCUAAUACCGCAUAAGCGCACAGAACCGCAUGGUUCGGUGUGAAAAACUCCGGUGGUAUAAGAUGGACCCGCGUUGGAUUAGCUAGUUGGCAGGGCAGCGGCCUACCAAGGCGACGAUCCAUAGCCGGCCUGAGAGGGUGAACGGCCACAUUGGGACUGAGACACGGCCCAGACUCCUACGGGAGGCAGCAGUGGGGAAUAUUGCACAAUGGGGGAAACCCUGAUGCAGCGACGCCGCGUGAAGGAAGAAGUAUCUCGGUAUGUAAACUUCUAUCAGCAGGGAAGAUAAUGACGGUACCUGACUAAGAAGCCCCGGCUAACUACGUGCCAGCAGCCGCGGUAAUACGUAGGGGGCAAGCGUUAUCCGGAUUUACUGGGUGUAAAGGGAGCGUAGACGGCGCAGCAAGUCUGAUGUGAAAGGCAGGGGCUUAACCCCUGGACUGCAUUGGAAACUGCUGUGCUUGAGUGCCGGAGGGGUAAGCGGAAUUCCUAGUGUAGCGGUGAAAUGCGUAGAUAUUAGGAGGAACACCAGUGGCGAAGGCGGCUUACUGGACGG
rnacentral:rRNA from 1 species